GUCAUGCAGUCGAGCGGACAGAUGGGAGCUUGCUCCCUGAUGUUAGCGGCGGACGGGUGAGUAACACGUGGGUAACCUGCCUGUAAGACUGGGAUAACUCCGGGAAACCGGGGCUAAUACCGGAUGGUUGUCUGAACCGCAUGGUUCAGACAUAAAAGGUGGCUUCGGCUACCACUUACAGAUGGACCCGCGGCGCAUUAGCUAGUUGGUGAGGUAACGGCUCACCAAGGCGACGAUGCGUAGCCGACCUGAGAGGGUGAUCGGCCACACUGGGACUGAGACACGGCCCAGACUCCUACGGGAGGCAGCAGUAGGGAAUCUUCCGCAAUGGACGAAAGUCUGACGGAGCAACGCCGCGUGAGUGAUGAAGGUUUUCGGAUCGUAAAGCUCUGUUGUUAGGGAAGAACAAGUGCCGUUCAAAUAGGGCGGCACCUUGACGGUACCUAACCAGAAAGCCACGGCUAACUACGUGCCAGCAGCCGCGGUAAUACGUAGGUGGCAAGCGUUGUCCGGAAUUAUUGGGCGUAAAGGGCUCGCAGGCGGUUUCUUAAGUCUGAUGUGAAAGCCCCCGGCUCAACCGGGGAGGGUCAUUGGAAACUGGGGAACUUGAGUGCAGAAGAGGAGAGUGGAAUUCCACGUGUAGCGGUGAAAUGCGUAGAGAUGUGGAGGAACACCAGUGGCGAAGGCGACUCUCUGGUC
rnacentral:rRNA from 1 species